CACUCCUGUCUUCUCUAGAUUUUUACAUUCAGGAUGAAAUCAGCAAAUUUUAGAGCUUGCCGAGAUUGAAACGAUGGUGUUUAGCGAUGCAGCCCCGAGCAUGCAGAGCCCAGCACUGCUUUGCUCCCAGUAAUGAGUCCCCCCAGGGGGUCACAGCCCCCACUGCAUGGGGCUGCCCAAUGCCUUGUGUUUCUUCCAGCAAAGACACUGUACAGUCACAGGCAGCUGCACUGUGGAAAAUGUAAAUGCAAUAGAAAACACAGACUUGGAGGAGCAGCUGUUGUCCCCUCCAGGUCAAGCAGUGGUCUUGAAAGAUGAACCAGCACAGAGGGAACUCAGAAGGAGCAAGAUGUUUAUAUCCAAAGCCAGAACUGUAUUUCCCACGGUCCCAUCCAAAGAACUCCAGCUGCAAACAAAUCCAGGGGAGCAUCAGCCUUUUCUACAGCAGUGAUUGUUGGUACUACCUCACUGUGCUGCUGAUGUCCACCGUGCAAUGUGCCCACUGCAUGGUGCCAGAGAGAAGCACGAUUAAGGGAAGGCUAGCAGAAAGGAGAGAGAAUGUAUAGCAUAGAAGCCUAGAAAGCAGCAGCAUCAGCAGACCAAGAGGAGGUUAUUCCCGUGA
rnacentral:lncRNA from 1 species